rnacentral:rRNA from 1 species
UACGGAGGAUGCGAGCGUUAUCCGGAUUUAUUGGGUUUAAAGGGUGCGUAGGCGGGCUUUUAAGUCAGCGGUAAAAAUUUGGGGCUCACCCCCGUCCGGCCGUUGAAACUGGGGGCCUUGAGUGGGCGAGAAGAAGGCGGAAUGCGUGGUGUAGCGGUGAAAUGCAUAGAUAUCACGCAGAACCCCGAUUGCGAAGGCAGCCUUCCGGCGCCCUACUGACGCUGAGGCACGAAAGUGCGGGGAUCGAACAGG